GAGCCCAACAACCUAGCCAGCUUUCUAUCCACCUUAUAAUCCAUUCAUCCAGCCCAUACUUCUUUAACUUGGCGGCAAGAAUACUGUGGGAGACCGUAUCAAAAGCUUUGCUAAAGUCAAGACUCCAAUGGCAGCAGGGCCACAGAGCUUAAAUUGCAAGAACUUGGCGAAAUUCUCUUUCUUUCUUUCUUUCUCUUCCCCAAGCUUCCCCUUCCCCCACCUCCACGACUGCCCGGAACUUGGAAGCCAGUUCAAAGCACGAGCAGAGGAGGACAGGUCUGAAAAUAGCCCGAUGCACCAUUAAAAUAGCCCGAGCCGUUCGACUUCUUUAGCAUCACCUCAAAAUAAUCUCCCUCGACAGGGGGGAGCUAUAAAUAAGUGUGCAGCAAUUUGCAUAAUAAACUGUUCUCCAGCAGGAAUUGAGCAGAGCUCAGCCUUGUGUAGCACCUGAUCUCCUCCCACGCUGGGGUGAGUUAGCGCAAUGCAGAUAACCGGCAGCGGCAGGGUUAUUUAUCAUGGUAGCACUGGAGAAUGUAACUGCAGGCCGGGUCAGUGGCAGGGCACGUGAUGUACAGUUACUUGCUAGAUUGGGUGAUCUUCGGGUGACACAACGGAACGUAUCACAGCUCCCCACUCUUCAGUUUAAUCAGGUGCAUGAGAUCCGAAUCCCACCCCAGUGUGUUGCCUUUCAGCAGAUCCUGAGUGCCAACAGAGAGGAGGAGGAGGUCAGGCUUGGCCAAGUUGAAAUAAUUAACAUGCCAGAGAGGAGACAGGUAGCUCUCUAGAACGGGAGGCCAUUCCGUCUGCGUGCUCAUCGCCUCUCACAAGCUACGUGUGGCCGUUUUGGUGUCUCUCUGACUCUGGAGGGUCCUCUGCGAAUGGAGCUGCCAAUAGGCGGUGAGUCAUUUUGAACAUGCCUGGAUCCAGAAGGCAUCAUGUGGUUGAUGAUUCAUGUGUCUCACCUGUUUGACGGUUUAAAUAAACUCUUAUUCCAAGGGCA